rnacentral:rRNA from 1 species
UACGUAGGGGGCUAGCGUUGUCCGGAUUUAUUGGGCGUAAAGAGCGCGUAGGCGGUCCGAUAAGUCGGCUGUGAAAGUCAGGGGCUCAACCCUUGAAAGCCGGCCGAUACUGUCGGACUAGAGUCCGGAAGAGGCAAGUGGAAUUCCCGGUGUAGCGGUGAAAUGCGCAGAUAUCGGGAAGAACACCCGUGGCUAAGGCGGCUCUCUAGUACGGUACUGACGCUGAGACGCGAAAGCGUGGGGAGCGAACAGG